GUCUACGGCCAUGCCACCCGAACACGCCUGAUCGUGUCUGAUCUCUGAAGGUAAGCAGGGUCGGGCCUGGUUAGUACUUGGAUGGGAAAGGGAAAAAGCCGGACUUUGGCCC
ensembl:rRNA 5S_rRNA 5S ribosomal RNA